GGGGCAACCCCCGGUACAGUGGCGCACGGUGAGUAACACGUGGGUGAUCUGCCAGAAGAGGGAUAACCUCUCGAAGGGGGGCUAAUACCGCAUAGGACCACCGGGGCUUUGGCUCUGUGGUGGAAAGGGGGCCUCUGUUUACAAGCUCCUGCUUCUGGAUGAGCCCGCGUCCCAUCAGCUAGGUUGGUAGGGUAAUGGCCUACCAAGGCUACGACGGGUAGCUGGUCUAAGAGGAUGGCCAGCCACACUGGAACUGAGACACGGUCCAGACUCCUACGGGAGGCAGCAGGUGGGGAAUCUUGCGCAAUGGGCGAAAGCCUGACGCAGCGACGCCGCGUGGGUGACGAAGGCCUUCGGGUUGUAAAGCCCUGUGGGGUAGAACGAACUGGCAUCGGGCUAAUAUCCCGGUGUCUUGACGGUACUGCCUUAGCAAGCAUCGGCUAACUCUGUGCCAGCAGCCGCGGUAAGACAGAGGAUGCGAACGUUGCUCGGAUUUACUGGGCGUAAAGCGC
rnacentral:rRNA from 1 species